UUGUGGGCGUGACCGUCCUCCU
rnacentral:misc_RNA from 1 species